ensembl:lncRNA
UUUUUUUAUUGUAUGUUUUAGCCAUGGUUCCCAUCCACUUACAUUAUAAGACUGACAGACUGCAACGGUUUGAGCUAAAAAUCUUGGUUUGUGUUCUACUGAAGAAACAAAGUCACCUACAUCUUGGAUGUCCUGGGGGUAAGCAGAUGAACAUAAAAUGUUCAUUUUUGGGUGAACUAUCCCUUUAAGGCCCGUUCACACCAAGAACGAUAUCUGUAAAUAUCUAAAAAUCAUUCUUUAUUUAAGAGAAUACACAUCACAACUAUAACGAUAACGAUUUACAGGAACAAUAUCAAUAAAAUCCAUUUCAGAAAGAUAUUUUCUAUCUAAUGAAGAAUAAAACACUGACAGCCAAUCAGAAUCCAUUCUGCUUUAAGAUGCUCAAGCAUUUAAAAUAAUAAAUGAAAGCGUGCACCUAUAUUAAACAGAACGGUAAUGUGCAUUGGUGUGGACAAUAAUAUAGUUAUCUUUAUAGUUAGCUUUCUUGGUGUGAAUGAUGGAAAGUAUUUUUAAUUAUUCGUCAUUAUGCAUUUACAAUUUUUGGUUAACACAACCUCUGCAUUUAGUAUGCAAGAGUAGAAUUAGUGCAUCCCAAAUCAUCAACUGUUGAAAAUAACAUGCUAAAAGAUCCUGGGUGGUUUACUGUGUCAGGUGACUUGUCCAAAAAAAAGACAAAAAAUCUGUUUAUGCUUUUUGAGGUUAUAAGUUAAAGUUCAAGAUUUAGUCACUGAAAAACCAAUACUGUGAUCAACUAAUACUUUGAAUAUUUGGGUUGUGUAAAAAUGUUAAACCUAAGAUAUGUAAGUUCUGAAUUUAGCGUCAUGCUAACACAAACAGUACAUGACAGGGGCCUGUGGUGAUUUUAUGAUGUGGUUGUACAGUAUGUCUCAAUACUGGCAAAGCGUCUAAAUACACACUCAGCCGCAGCUCUACUUUCCUAGCAGCAAAUAAAGUAUGUUUAUUUAGCGUGUAGCAAAAGUAUGGGAUGUAAGGUGCGACCAAUGUUUAGGUACUCAUUAUGAAAUUAGGUAAGACUGAGAAUUAUGCAUUUCGUGACUUUUUUUUCGUGACAAAUGCUUGAGCUGUGCAGUUCUUCUGUCUUUGCACACAAUGUUGCAGUUUUCAGAGUUUGCUCAGAGCAAGAUAAGGCAUGUGUCAGACAGAUCUACAAAAUGCAAGCCACCUGAUAAUACUACGGGUAUUUCUACAUAUCAGAUCUUUUUUUACGAAUCAUUAGCUCAGCAGAUGGUGGGUAGGGGGGGGGUGCUUUUUAACCUAUUCAUUUUUUUCCAUUAAUGCUUUGAUUUCCAUGAAAUGAUUAAUGCACCUUAUUAUAAUGAUCUGAUUAUCUAUUACUAAGGAAGUAGACACUUUGAUGGUUAGAGGUGAUUACAGGCUUAACUUAAACUAGAAUUAACUGUUUGAAAGAAAACUUACAUUACCUUUUUUUUAGCCUUAUUACUGUACAAUUUGUUUUGUUUAAAAGCUAUGCUGUUAGUAUUAACAAUCACGUUUUCCUUCUGUAAGUCAUAUCAACUUGUAUAACAACAUUUGUGGCCUUACUUUUGGAACUGUAUAUGCAGGAGCACUUUAAAAAGUUUUCUGCAACAUUUGAAACUAAAACACUGUAACAUACACUAGGAAGCCACAAAUAAAAGUUCAUAUUUGUAACUUUUAAUCUUUCAAAUCACUGUGCAAAAUGUCAGUUCAGUCAUUUAUAGAAACAUUCAUACACGGGGAAAGUCAUAUCAAGAUGUUUCUGACUGGAAAUGUUACAUAUGUAUUAGUAUAAUUUAGAAUAAUAAAAAAUAAAACAAAGAAUUAUGUGUAAACGUAUUCAGAUCCUCCCUUUGGUAUAAUACCUUUAGCUGAUAU